rnacentral:lncRNA from 1 species
CAUAAUAUUCAACAUAUAACAGAGCACAAAUUCAUACAUUAGACAUGGAAAUUAACAUGGAUGAUCACACGAUCAUCAUCAAAACUUAUAAAGCACAACAAUGGUAAAUAAAAUCUAGAGGAGGGGGAGGAUCUCUCUCUAACCUUCAUGCAAUACACCUAUAUUCAAGUAGUUUUCGCCCUUACCUACAUUUUCAUCAACAAGCUCCAAG